GCUGUAGCUUCGAGUGAAAUUGGUUACAUAUCGAAGCUGAGUUCAAUCAUAUCAUUACCGGUGUACAGUGCAAGUGUUCGCGCCAAAAAUAGAUAAAAAGUGUUUAGAAGUUAUAAAACCAGCGACGAGCUGCGCGAAAUUGCUGUUUAUUCGGAAAGUGGACGGAGAACAUGGACCACAAAUUGAAUGCGAAUACCUUGGUGAAAAUUCGGGAAGAAGCUGGCGAUAGCUGGGUGGAGCAGAUUAAAAGCAAAUACAUAGGUUGAACAGGAGGAAGAGUUUGAAAACGACGUCGACCGAGACCAUGCUCAACGUCAGCCAGGAUUAAACUUAGUUUCGAAGCGCAAAACGCAUUUUCCAUAAGCAUAAGGGAACCCGUACCAUCCUGCCGCUGAAUCGGGCUGUCGCUCUUUAAGUAGAAAGUUGGCACAUAGAGGAUGGAGACGAGAAGCAGGAGCCAAGUGCUCCUCGGCGUAGCGCGCUCGAGAAAGUAAAUACGUGUCCACUUUUUUCUCUUUUUUAUUUCAGUCUUCAGCGGCUCUGGAAAUACAUACAUCCGGAGUCCCAGGAACACAGGACUCGCUCGUCUUUUCUCUCCACGUUUCGGAGAUCGACGUCGAACAAUUCCGAACAAAAUCGUUAGAAAAUUUGAAGAAUCGUCGGGGUCUGGGGUAUAGUAAUCAGCGAGAGGAAACUUACGAUCUUUUUCCUCUGGUACAACAGAGUGAAAAUUUCUCGAAUGGUAGAAAAAACUCCCUCGCAGAUACGUGUGAUGGGAAAAAGAAUUCAUCAAGAUUCAAAGAGAUUUCUUUCUGAAACGAGACCGCUUUCGCGAGCUGAGAAGCGUCGAAACAUUCCCAAAAGGUUUUGCAGCACGGCACGAUGCGGUGCGGCGGAAGCACGCGCGACCGGAAAUUAGCUGAAAUGGAAGCGCGACCAACCCCCCGAGGCGCUCUUCUCAGCGUAGCGGAAUAAACAAAGCGAGAAAAUACCCUUUCAUCCCCCGUGACUGUUCGAUAUUAUCCCUUCGAGAGGAUAAAGUUCGCUCACGGAGGAAGCUUCCUCCUCGUUCGGAGUCCAAUUCGCUCGAAGAAACGCGGAGAGGAAUGCGAGUGGAGUGUCGAUUCGAAAGUUUCCUCGGAGAAACUUGCUACUCGUCGUGAUAAUCGUCGCGCAAGGAGCAAUAUCGAACGAGUAUUAUCGCAAAGAGAAAGAAAUAUUCGUACGAAGAGACAUUGUCGGUCCAAGACCGGCACCGACUAUUACGCUGAGAAAAUAAAAGGAAGAAGCUGUCGGUCGGUGAAAGGCACGUUGCUUCGUAAACUUUGAACAGCUUUGGGGACCUUAGAGAUCCGAAUGUCUCGCGUGUGAUUCGCAACAAAGAAAAGAAACGACCAUCAUUUAUUUUGUCCGACAGAAUGGCCACGAACGUCGAUGCCUCGGCCAAGGAGAACGUUAAUGGAGUAAGUAGCAACCGCCUCGAAACCUCUGUACGAGAAUUCCGUUUCUAACUGCUCCGUUUCCGUACGUCACCAAGAAAUCGGUCAGCGUUUUAUCGAUCUUAUCUAAAAGUCAUCUCGAACACUUCUAUAUCUGGCCACUCUUAAGACAGAAAUAUCUACCAAUUGAUUAAAGAAGUCACAAAUUUCGUGACACAAUAGAUUUUCCAACCAAAGGCUUAGAGGUUGUGCGAGUUUCACUCGGUCCAUUAAACGUUAUUUCAAAUUCAGGAUUUCUCAGUGAAUACAGUUCGGUCGAGGAAAAUAGGAUGGCAGGAUCUCCGUGAAAAGAGUUUUGUCGGUGUCGGUUUACGGAUAUCGACCAAAGGGAUUGGCCAACCGUCUACCCAUCUCGCGAGAACUCGCUGACACCUAUUAGGUCUGGUUUAACUCGAUCCUUCGACUCCUCGAAUGCUGCUGAUACAUUUAAGGCCCUCCCGAGACUCGGUAACCUUUAGAAAAGUCUGUUUGAUCCGAAGUCUCGUAGAAAAGACUCGCGAGAAUGGGCAAGCUUCGUACAGGGCGAACGACACUUCUAACUGAUCGUAAAAAAGUUUUCGGGCUCCGGUAAGUGCAGGAUCGUGUCCUGUCGUUUGCAUGACUCUCGUUCAUCAAUUCUUGGAGCCAUCGAACCGAACCUUCUGUCUAAUUAUCCCUCGGUUCAGGCGACCGAUAGCGGAAGCGUCUUCAAGAAAAUUACAUUCUCCAAGACGUAUUACGUUGCCCUUAGAAAAUGACUGCUCAAAAUUCAGCUUCAACUUUAUAAUACGGAGGGUCGACACUUUGAUAUAUGUUUUCCCAUCAAAUCCAUCAGCUGCACUGUUUUAACAUUUCUCUACUGUCCUUUUUUUGUGUCAAUACACAGAACGAUACAUAGCAAUUUUUACCGGAUAUGUUUGUUGCGAUCUUCCUGUUUGAAUUGUCGUGAAAAACGUGAAAUUUUUCAAUAAACCAAUGGAAUUGAUUCAACUAUCACUCUGAACGAUUUUAUCCAAUUUAAACAUCGGCGAUAUUUUUAUCUAGUAUACGGUUUUAUUAUAGGUUUUGUAAAUUAAUCGAUUUCAUUUGCGAGAGCAUCAUUCCCAUCGCUAGUUGUACGAGCAUCGUUGUGGCAACAACCUUCUUGUCGUUAUUACAGUAACACGAUCCUUUGAAGCGGCAUCACAGCCCCGAUUUUAUGAUCUCUCCGAGGUUUCACUUCGCAGUUUCUCGCCGCCGGCUUUCCCGAAGCAUUAAACCAGAUUUCAGAGCGCUACUCGAAAAUGCAAGAAAAACGGAAGUCGUUCCAACGGUCUUUUCAGCCGAUCCUUUGACUACGCUCGUUUCAAAUUUAAUCUCGGCUACGGACAUUCCGGAUCGACGCGUUUUUUUUUCCACCUUGCUGCACGUUUUUAAAUUCUACCUCAUAUCAAUUAACUCCUCUUACACCUGAUUGAGCGCAAAAGAAUCUCGCUGAGCAAAUAGUAAUUACCGAUUAAUAUUCCAGCUAUUCGAUCACCGAUUGAAUUUCGAAGUACCUUCGUAAUUAUUUAAAUGUAGUAACUCGAUCUUCAGAACUUUCAAUUAACCUUCUAAUUUCGUAAGAUAUUUUAAGCGAUUCAAAGUAAUUAUAAUCCCAUCAUUAACGGUAAUCAUCGCGAAAUAUUCCACAUGAAACGAGUGAUUUAAUAUACACGUUCCAUUAAUGCUUAUUUGCGUCUCGAUUAAAAGUCAAUUCACAUUCAGUAAAGAUUUAUGCGGACGAAAUGAACAACGAUGCACAACUGCAGAGCCGGUUUCUUAACGUCGACGCAUGAGCGACGUUUAAUUCGUGCUGUCAAGGAAGAAAUUUCUUCAACAGAGAUAAACGUUCCUCUCUACCUAUACGCUCGUAUAUGGUCAUACAGAGAACUUAACGAAGGCAUGUAAAUACUUUCCCGCCAGUUAUUUCUCCAGUCAUGAUCAAGAUGUACUUAUGGGUAUAGGUAUAGGUGACCGUAGUGGCUUAAUAAGUUGGCGCACAGUCGGCGUAACGAAAUUUCACAACGAAAGGGAUAAAUCGAGCGCGGGCCGAUUACAUAAGCGAAGGAUAAUGGAGGGGCCGUCAAGGAAGGAGCGGAAUCGUCGGAAACGGCGCGGAGGCGGAACUUGAGCAACGAAGUUUGCAGUUACCCUCGAGUUCCGCAUCGAUAUUAUUGUCGUAGAAUCUGGCAGCAAGGCUUCGACAUCGGCCGAACGAACGUUCCCUGGCCGACGAUCCUGCGAAAUUACUGUCCUCUGGAAUUGCCUCAGCACGACGGAAAUCCGUGCUCGUCUAAUCUAAUGAAACUGCGCGAACUGUGUGUAAUUAAGCUGCCUCGCCGCGUCUGAUGCGACGCGCAGAAUGAAAGCAAAGCCGAAACUCCGGGCAAACAGCGGAACGCGAACGACCGGGAACGCAAGUUUCACCGCGGAAAUUACUCCGACAAAUAAUCGGCCAUCGAAUCUGGACCGCAUCGCUCUAUGAUAUACCGAGCCGAGACGUUGAUUCAAGUUCAGCUUUUCAAGGGGAGGAUAUUUCAACCAGAUUCGAAAGCUUCUAUCCCUUAAAGGGAUUGUUUCGUAAUACGUGCAAAGAAGCUUUCGAACUAAAGAAAAGAAACUUCUUUGUCGAAAUGUUUGCUUUCUGUCGGAAAGAAUGAAAUGAAAAUUGAAAAACUCACCCUGAAUUUUCCGAGAGAGACCAUGGCGGAGAUCAAAUCAGCAGGGCCACGCUGUCGAGCGCGCGAUCUGCUCAUCAUCACGACAUACGUCAAAGGGCUGACGUCCCUCAGCUCUGUAUAUCCUGCAACGCCUAACAAAAAUAUUGAUUUUACGCCAUGUCCUGCGUGCCACGUGAUUUUCGUAAACGGUUCUGUGAUCUAGUGACCGAGGGCAGAAAUUUGCCUACGUCAGCCGGUCGGCAGCGUUGAUUUAGAACGUGGAUCCCGACCGUUCUUUUCCGAGCAGCUUGCACGCUUGAUCUAUCGCCCGCCGUUUUCGGCCGGAAUUAUUCCUAUCCGCUACACGGAUGAUAUUCUCUACCGACGUCAACGUGAAUCUUCGUUCUCGUCCAACGCGUUUAACCCUAGUCGGAUGGACGUGUAUGCUUUUCAAUUUUUAACACCGCACACAUUUAUUCCGAGUACGAAACACGGCUAGAUAGAAUUAUUGUCGCUAUAGGAGUUCUCAAAGGAUCAGAACCGGACGAGUCAAAAGCAAUACCCUUUCGUGGUAGUGUCGAGUAAAUCUUUACCAAACGGAUAGCUUAGAAUUCUCGGAAAAGGCGCAAGUAAACGCGCAGAAGCUUCUUCUCCGCCUAUAGCUCAGCUCCGUACACGGGGAUCGAUCUUCUUAGCACUUUCAACGAACGGAAGGCAAUUAACCCGUUUUUUUGUAAAAACGAUAGAACUCUGACGAACGAUGUAUCGAGAGAAAUCGCGUGGAAAUGUUAUUUUCUACCACUCGACCGUAUCUGUUUUUCUGCUGGUACCCAGCAGUUUGCCGUGUUCUGUUCAAAAAUAAUUAACUCCACUCGCUGUUAUUAAUCGCGUAAAGUUUGAGUCGGCGCUUUUCUGACGGCCAAAAUCCACGGGUGAAAUUUCGAAUGUUUUUUCCCCGGGCUGAAAGUUUCGUGGAAACCGAUUCGUGCCUGCGAAUCUAAUUAAUUCUCUGAACUCGAACUCGAGAACGCUCGAUAGAAGCACCUUAUUACAGCGCGACAAGUUUUCCUACAGUACAACGGAAACAGGCAAGCUUCUUACUUAAGUUUCUGUCUUAAUACCUGAUUUACUGAGCUUCCCUGUAAUUACUCACGCGCAGCUUCUCCUCGACGUUUCCCUAAUCUAUCGAUUCGAUAAAACGAGCCAAACUUAUUACCGAGCAAGUUCGUGAAAAAUGAAGGCCGCCAACCCCAGGAGUCGAAGCCAAGGUUUUCCCCUGUUGUGGCUGACUACUUUGUCUCCUAGACUACUGCCGCGACCCUAGAACUUCUCGUGCUACGUCUUACCUUUCUUUCCCCUGAAAGUUCCUCGUCGUGACUCUAACAGAGAAUCAAGGAUCUCGCUAGCUCUCGAGUUCACUCUUUUCCUUCUCGCGAUACCGCUGACGCUCCUAGCUUUGCUCCACGUGGAGAACGAGCUGAGUCCCUUAUUCUCGUUAAACGUUAAAUUGUAUCUAAUCGUUUUGCCUCGGAAGAAAAAGAUCAGCCGCAGACAAUUUCCUGAACGUUCAAUCAUAUUCGUCAUGCUCUCUGCCCAGCACCAGCCCUCGGAUAGAUACUCUACGAUCCCAGUGGCGGGUGACACCUCCUGACUUAUCACAGAUUUACAAAAUUUUGCCAAUGACUGCAUCUCCGAGGCGUAAAUUUCUCGCCUUUUCUUCCAAGACGCUGCACACCAACAAUGCUCGUGGAGGCUGUUGAAAAGAUUGUUCAGAUACGGCCGCAAGAUUGGCUCGAGGACUUUCCGAUCGUAGUCCAUACCUUGAACAAUACCAUCUACUUGAGAUAGACAGAGAAAGUAUAUUUGAUGAAUGGACAUUUCCUUACCGAAAUGUAACCAAUGUAGAAGCAUUUUAGUCAUUAUUGGAUAUGCUUCCAGAUCCAUAUUGGCCGUUUCUCCGUCCUUCCUGACAAUGUCGAUCAAGAGUUCAACAGCAUAAUCAAAUUGGCUGUUGGUGUUGUAGCGUUUCUCUUUCCUACAUAUUUGACGCACUCGCAUUCCACGGUUCCUCAUCGCGUACAUUUGAUCCCUAGCCUGCGUUAAAACUAGUCUCAACAGGUAUACCAGGUUCUCCACGUGUUCCAUCGCGUGGUAAGACAAUUCCGUGUAAUUCAAAUAGGAACAGUUAUCCGAGUGAUUCUGCGAACGUAAAGUAGCUCAUCUUCGCUUGAAAUGUUUUAACGAGUGUCGCAGGAUUCUUUCUGUGAAAAAUUUUACCUGCAACGAAGAGUUGUUUGCUAGCAACACUUGCUCGAGGAUCAAACUGAAAUAUUCCAGUUGUCUCGGGCUAUAUCCAUGAUCCUGGCUCGGGAUUCCUCUAGGAAGCGAGGUCAUGACGUCUCGCCAUCUGACAAUGAGCUCGCUUUCCAUAACGUCCAAAGGUCUGGGCACGUCCCGUGUCAUGGAAAAGGAACGAUAAUGGAGCGUCUCCAAGUACGACUCGAGCAGUCUGCAGUCGGAGACGUAGGAAUCCUCGUGAUGCACUAUGCCGCCUACGGAAUGCAAGGAUACACAAUCUGGAUAUAACCGUAGAUCUUUUUUUUUUUUUUUAAAUAAUAACGCUGU